rnacentral:lncRNA from 1 species
CAACCACAGAUUUUUCUUGUAUUACUCUCUUGUUGGAUCACCUGAGAAUAAACCCAAGCACCAACAGAAUUUUCUGUUUACCCUGGAUGUCUUGAAAUACCACGGCUCUCAGGAAUUACUUUGUUGUUUUAUUUAAAGGCUGUAUUGCAUCUUCAUUCCAAGACAUAAAAACCUCUAUAUCCACUAACUGUGCUGUGCUGUGACACCAACACUGGCUGUCAAUAUAGAUUCCUGGAUGAUGCCUGCACAUUCAAAUACUCAUGCACUGGCUUCCUUCAGCCCCAUGAUGCAGAACAAUUGGUGACUGGGGACGCACAGCUGAAGGUGUUUCACUGCUUUAUUUCCUCUGCCUCUGAAUUGUCAGACUUGUGAGCAUCUAUCUGGCACAUGGAACUGAAUUUGUACUUGGGCAAGGGUGGAGUCCAAAGUGACAAUUUUGGGUAAUUCACUUUGUUCUUUAAGGCUUUAAACUUUCUGCAUCACUCCUUCAGCUUC